AUUGAACGCUAGCGGGAUGCCUUACACAUGCAAGUCGAACGGAGUGGCGAACGGGUGAGUAAUGUAUCUGAACGUGCCCAGUAGCGGUGGAUAACUACGCGAAAGCGUAGCUAAUACCGCAUACUAUUGGCGCGGCCGAUAUCGGAUUAGCUAGUUGGGGGGGAAACGGCUAACCAAGGCGACGAUCCGUAGCUGGUUUGAGAGGACGACCAGCCACACUGGGACUGAGACACGGCCCAGACUCCUACGGGAGGCAGCAGUGGGGAAUUUUGGACAAUGGGGGAAACCCUGAUCCAGCCAUGCCGCGUGUGCGAUGAAGGCCUUCGGGUUGUAAAGCACUUUUGGCAGGGAAGCGGUACCUGCAGAAUAAGCACCGGCUAACUCCGUGCCAGCCGCCGCGGUAAUUC
rnacentral:rRNA from 1 species